AGGACCACACUGAAUGUAUUUGAAUUGAUUUCAUGAAACUUUGGACUGGAUCUGGAGAUUUUGUUCUUGGAAAAGGAGCUACAACCUGUUGAACUCAAGACGUUGCCGCACUGCCGAGCAUGGGCCGCCACCGCGCAGCACGAGAUGGCGAGGAUGUCAACGCGAGAUGAGCCUCCUUCCCUGCAUCCUCCGCUCGUGCCUUUUCAUGGGGGCUCUAACCCUUUGUAGCAUGCCGUUCAACCCAGAUGAUAUGUUAGAGAUGCAGUGGGAAAGAGACGUUGUUCAUAGCCGCAAUCCGCACUCUUUCUUUCAGAUUGACUCAUUGAGGAACGCCAUCUUUUGCACCUUUGAAGUUUAAUUUGUACCCUGCGAGUGCUAAUACAAAGUGUGAUUAGACCUUCGGAAAAUUCUUAACAUACCAAAACUACAUUCUUCGGAGAGCAGUCGUAGGCAAGUGUCUCUUUAGAUUUACGUCAAACCUCAUGAAGUAUUUAACUUGCUUUAGGUUUUAGCAAAUCAUAUUUCAGGACCUACAUAAUAUAUUUAUGGAUAUCCUAUUUAAAUGCAGAAUGUAGAAGUGGCUAGGUUUCUGUCUCUACUUACCGAUUAUGCCAAGUUAUGGAAUAUACAGUACUGCCAUCCUCUUAUGCUGUUUGUUUCUUUUUAAAUAUGCUAUGUGAUUCUUUUAUUCUUCUAGAUGGUCAUUGAAUACAUGCCACCGUAUUAGAUGAUUGACAUAGUUUUCGGGUAAUUCUGAUUCUCUAUGGAUAAUGAAUGCUAUUAGUUAGUUCUUUCCAGAUGUUGGGGUAUGGCCUCAAAUGCUUGGUUUUGAAUGGCUGAAAGUUCUUAGGCCUGCAGUGACAGCAACAUUAAUGCACAUGGUUUUAGUGAUGCCCAAAUUCCACAAAUAAAUUAUGUUCCUCCGAUCCUCAAGUUAAUCAUUUUAACCUUCUUCCUUAUUUCUAUUCUGCGGGCAUGAAACACACACUGAUUUCUAGACACCUUCGGUUAUUUCAGAUCUGGAUUGUUUUUAGUGAUGCCCAAAUUCCACAAAUCAAAUCUUUAUUGUUUUUAGUGAUGCCCAUAUUCCACAAAUAAAGUAUGUUCCUCUGAUCCCCAAGUUUAUCAUUUUAACCUUCUUCCUUAUUUAUCGUGAUGUCUCCUUAUUUGGUGAAGUACACUGUUGUAUGUUUGCCGGCCCGUGUUGUUGCAUCAGUUGAAUUUUACCAUAGUGGGUUAUGUUUCUCCAUCAAAAGGAUUAUAUAUUUUCUCGGCUGGGUAUUAGUUCUGCUAUCCCUACUGUUCUGGAUCUUGAUUUCUGUAUAUUGUUAUCUACAUAUGUUGUGGUUAUAUUUCUUUGAUGGAAUUUAAAAGGUGUUGAUUAGCGCAUUCCAUGUUGUCUUUGAUUAUAAAUAAGUUUAACAUCUUCAAGUAGUAUAUUGUGUGGCUUGACAUUGAAUUCCUCUAUGGGGUAAUCCCAUCAUUUGUUCUCCAAUUAUUAUAUAGAAGAUUGAGCGACCAUGAAUGCAGCUGGGUUUUCUGAGUUAAACAUACUGAUUUGUCUCUAUCCACUCCUGAGUAGGAACUGAGAUUCCAGAAAGUUUUGAUUAACGAUUUUACAUGCCAAUGAUCUGUGUGAGUUCCACAAAAAAUGCCGUUGUUGAUUUCCCCUCAACCGUGUUGGCUCAGCUGAGAAAGCUAACUAUAGAAAGACACACCAGGUGUUCAUGGAUAGCUGCUAAAAUUCAACUUAGUAGUUCCAAAAGUGGCACAUGUAUUUACAUUUCAGCAUAGCUUGUCCAGCUGUUAAGAAUAGCUGCUAUCCUAAGUGGGAAACAGUCUUUCAUGUAGUAGAUCUGUGUAAUACAUUUUCGUGUCGUAAUACUGAUUCAAGUCAUGUGUAAAAUAUCUAUAGGAGCAGGCUGCUGACACGAAAAGCUCAGCACGAUACACUGUCUAGGAAGAAGACCCGAAUUAGGAACAUGUACUGUCUCAAAUGCUUUGCGUGUAUCUUCUUUCGUCUGCUCUUGCAUUUCUUGCAGCUCUAGAUUGAUGGUCUCUCUUUCUCAUAGGAAGUAGAUGUUAGACCUGUGCUUUUUAUCUUCUAUUUUUUUAACCUUAAGAUUUAUCAUUGGCUGAUUUGUGCUUUGCUUUUCAGUGGUGUUCCCGCUUGGUGACACAGGUCCUCAGUAUUUGUUUGUAUCCUAUUAUCUAUGUACAGUGGGAUCUGAGGAGUGAGGAGUGAGCUCCUCCCUUUUUUAGUUGACAUGUUUAUAUGAACUAGGUGGCUGGUGCAACAAUUCCCUUGUCCGCCUCGUGUGGAUGUUGUUUCUGCCCUUCCUUAAUGUUCGUCAUAUUUGAAUGUUUUUUGCUUAAUGCUGUUGUUGUUUGCUUACUUGUGUAGUUGGUUCUAUCCUGUAGUGGCUUUCUCAGGAAAGAGACUUCUGAAAUCAUGAUGCAG